rnacentral:rRNA from 1 species
UACACUCCUGCGGGAGGCAGCAGUGGGGAAUUUUGGACAAUGGGCGAAAGCCUGAUCCAGCAAUGCCGCGUGAGUGAAGAAGGCCUUCGGGUUGUAAAGCUCUUUUGUCAGGGAAGAAACGGUGAGAGCUAAUAUCUCUUGCUAAUGACGGUACCUGAAGAAUAAGCACCGGCUAACUACGUGCCAGCAGCCGCGGUAAUACGUAGGGUGCAAGCGUUAAUCGGAAUUACUGGGCGUAAAGCGUGCGCAGGCGGUUUUGUAAGUCUGAUGUGAAAUCCCCGGGCUCAACCUGGGAAUUGCAUUGGAGACUGCAAGGCUAGAAUCUGGCAGAGGGGGGUAGAAUUCCACGUGUAGCAGUGAAAUGCGUAGAUAUGUGGAGGAACACCGAUGGCGAAGGCAGCCCCCUGGGUCAAGAUUGACGCUCAUGCACGAAAGCGUGGGGAGCAAACAGGAUUAGAAACCCUAGUAGUCCCAU